rnacentral:rRNA from 1 species
UACGUAGGUGGCAAGCGUUGUCCGGAAUUAUUGGGCGUAAAGGGCGCGUAGGCGGCUUUGCAAGUGACGGGUGAAAUCCCUCGGCUUAACCGAGGAACUGCCUGUCAGACUGUAAGGCUUGAGACCGGGAGAGGUGAGUGGAAUUCCCAGUGUAGCGGUGAAAUGCGUAGAUAUUGGGAGGAACACCAGUGGCGAAGGCGGCUCACUGGACCGGUACUGACGCUGAGGCGCGAAAGCGUGGGGAGCAAACAGG